CGGACGGGUGAGUAACGCGUGGGUAACCUGCCUCAUACAGGGGGAUAACAGUUAGAAAUGGCUGCUAAUACCGCAUAAGCGCACGGUACUGCAUGGUACAGUGUGAAAAACUCCGGUGGUAUGAGAUGGACCCGCGUUGGAUUAGCUAGUUGGCAGGGUAACGGCCUACCAAGGCGACGAUCCAUAGCCGGCCUGAGAGGGUGGACGGCCACAUUGGGACUGAGACACGGCCCAG
rnacentral:rRNA from 1 species